AGUGAACGCUGGCGGUAGGCCUAACACAUGCAAGUCGAACGGCAGCACAGUAAGAGCUUGCCCUUACGGGUGGCGAGUGGCGGACGGGUGAGGAAUACAUCGGAAUCUACUUUUUCGUGGGGGAUAACGUAGGGAAACUUACGCUAAUACCGCAUACGACCUACGGGUGAAAGCAGGGGAUCUUCGGACCUUUCGCGAUUGAAUGAGCCGAUGUCGGAUUAGCUAGUUGGCGGGGUAAAGGCCCACCAAGGCGACGAUCCGUAGCUGGUCUGAGAGGAUGAUCAGCCACACUGGAACUGAGACACGGUCCAGACUCCUACGGGAGGCAGCAGUGGGGAAUAUUGGACAAUGGGCGCAAGCCUGAUCCAGCCAUACCGCGUGGGUGAAGAAGGCCUUCGGGUUGUAAAGCCCUUUUGUUGGGAAAGAAAAGCAGCAGGUUAAUACCCCGCUGUUCUGACGGUACCCAAAGAAUAAGCACCGGCUAACUUCGUG
rnacentral:rRNA from 1 species